UACAGAGGUGGCAAGCGUUGUUCGGAAUUACUGGGCGUAAAGGGCGCGUAGGCGGCCUCUUUAGUCAGACGUGAAAUCCCCCGGCUUAACCUGGGAACUGCGUCUGAUACUGGGAGGCUAGAGUUCGGGAGAGGGAUGUAGAAUUCCAGGUGUAGCGGUGAAAUGCGUAGAUAUCUGGAGGAAUACCGGUGGCGAAGGCGGCAUCCUGGACCGAAACUGACGCUGAGGCGCGAAAGCGUGGGGAGCAAACAGG
rnacentral:rRNA from 1 species